AGAAAAGAAAGAAAAGAAAAAAAAAAAGACAAAAGCAAGCCUUUAGGAGAGGCAUGUGCUGAACACACAGAGAAUAUGCAGGAUGGAAAAAGACCAAAUGUAAUUAAAGCUUAUAGGAUAGCAGACGUUCCUAUUUGCAGAGCUCUGGCUGCAUUUCUAUCAGAAAGAAUGCACAGAAUUUCAAAUCAUCCUCUAUUUAGACAAUGUCAGAAUAAAAACACGUUCCACCCCCCCACACCCCUCCCUUUAAACCCAAAGUCUCCAAAAGGCAAAUAUCCUCAGAUUUACAGAGAAAAAGCAAUCCGACGAUACUGGUUCAUAUUUUCCUUCUCAAACCAAGAAAUCAAGUAUCUCCCUGUCCCCAGCUAAUGGCUUAUACAUUCAGACUUUAAACAAAAGCAAAUAAUAAUUAUAAUGAUAAUAAAAGAAUCCUAAUUCUCAAGCUUCCUACUUAGCACUGCCUCGCUGUUGAUGAUUUGUGCGGCUGUGUGUGCGUGCGUGUUUGAGAAAUGGAGAGAUAGGCUUAAAGUAUUUUCCAUUUCAUCAAAGAGCAUAUAUUACUUUCCUGGUUCGCUCCAGCGUUUGGUUUUAUGCCCACCCCUUUUCCAUCUGCCCAUGUCUGAGAUGCACAGUGCAGGCGUACAAUCAUGAGCAGCUUACGACACUCAGUGAACACUAGGUGCCUCUGCAUGCUCUACCAACAUACUGCUCGGCUGAAGGGAAAGGAUUCUUGCUGUCUCUCUGCUCUAAGCAUCACCUAACAAGCAAAGCGAACAAAGAAUGGGAAAUAAAGCUACCCUUAGCCGGUCAGUGAAUGCAUGGUAAUCUCUCUAUGGAGUAAAGGUUGUGCCGGUCAAUGGUCGUUGCAAAUGAUGGACAUUAAACAGAUUGCCAAAUCCUGUGGAGUCGUUAGUAAAGAGUUUGGAGUUUUUUUCACGCCACAGUGUUAACUGCAGAGAAAAGGACAGAGGGAGAAGCAGAAGAUCAAGCUCAUGCACAUAGUUCUGAAACUUGCAGGUCCUAGGAGUCAGCUAAAAGCUAGCUGGACAAGCCUUGAGCUCUUUGAGCAGAAGCGAAGUGAGACAUUGUGAGCUUGCCAGCCUUGCACAGCUCUGAAAGGGACCGAAUUUGUAGCACAGAGGGGUCUUUUUUAGCUCUGCAUAUAAUUAGUCCAAACACAAAGGAAGCAACUGAAUGGAGGUUGUCACUCUCUGGAAAAGGAAUUUGAAAAGAUUCAAUGGACAUUCUCGAGCAUAUUUGGAAAUAUUCUUGCUAAUGGAUUUCCUUCUUAUCGGUCUCUGUUUAAACUGGCUGCUGAGGAAGCCCCCGGGGUUGAUAUUGUGUAUGCUGGGUAUCUUUUCUAAAAUGCUUCCAGCCGUGAAUAGUGGGUGUCCACAGCUAUGUCGGUGUGAGGGCAGGCUUUUGUACUGUGAAUCACUGAAUCUCACAGAGAUGCCUCGCAACCUGUCGGGCAUGAUGGGCUUGUCUCUGCGGUACAACAGCCUUUCAGAGCUGCAUGACGGACAGUUCACAGGGUUAAUGCAGCUCACGUGGCUCUAUCUGGAUCACAAUCACAUUUGCUCAGUGGAGGGGAAUGCCUUUCAAAAAUUGCGGCGAGUUAAGGAGCUCACCCUGAGUUCCAACAAAAUCACCCAACUGCCCAACAACACGUUCCGACCCAUGCCAAACUUGCGCAGUGUGGAUUUAUCGUACAACAACCUGCAGUCAUUGGAGCCCGACCUGUUUCAUGGGCUGAGAAAACUCACGACUUUGCACAUGCGGUCAAACGCCAUCAAGUUUGUGCCGGUGAGAAUUUUUCAGGACUGUCGCAGCCUGAAGUUUCUAGACAUAGGAUACAAUCAGUUAAAGAGCCUGGCUCGAAACUCUUUUGCGGGCUUGUUUAAGCUCACCGAGCUGCACCUCGAGCACAAUGACUUGGUGAAGGUGAAUUUAGCCCACUUCCCCAGGCUCAUCUCCCUGCACUCGCUCUGCUUGCGACGGAAUAAAGUCACCAUUGUCGUCAACACUUUGGACUGGAUAUGGCAACUGGAAAAACUGGAUCUCUCUGGCAACGAAAUAGAGUACAUCGAACCUCACGUCUUCGAAAGUGUGCCUCACCUCAAGUCCCUGCAGCUGGACUCCAACCGGCUGACCUACAUCGACUCACGCAUCCUGGACUCCUGGAAGUCUCUCACGAGCAUCAGCCUGUCGGCCAACACCUGGGACUGUGGCCGCAACGUCUGCGCCCUGGCCUCAUGGCUGAGCAGCUUCAAGGGCCGCUACGACAGCAACCUGCUCUGUGCUACCCCCGAGUACGCGCAGGGUGAGGACGUUUUGGAUGCGGUCUAUGCUUUCCACCUGUGUGAGGACACAGUCGACCCCACCAGUAUCAACACCCUGUCCCCCGUGACCAACAACAGCGACCAAAUGUUUGGCUAUGGCUCAGCUGCCGCCACGGCCUACGUGCCAGAGGCCGACGAGGAGCCGACGACGUACGCCAUCACCGUGACGCUGCCCGGCGAAGGCGCGGAGAACGCCGUGCAAAUUCACAAGGUGGUGACAGGGACCAUGGCACUGAUUUUUAGCUUCCUCAUUGUGGUUUUAGUGUUGUACGUCUCCUGGAAGUGCUUUCCAGCCAGCAUAAGGCAACUAAGACAGUGCUUUGUAACACAACGCAGGAAGCAGAAGCAGAAACAGACCAUGCAUCAAAUGGCUGCCAUGUCAGCCCAGGAGUAUUAUGUUGAUUACAAACCCAACCACAUCGAGGGAGCCCUGGUGAUCAUUAACGAGUACGGAUCUUGCUCUUGUCACCAGCAGCCAGCGAGGGAGUGCGAGGUGUGAUUUGCCUUGGGGAUUUACACAGUGUGCAACCAAAUAGCGGCGCGCAGACAGGGAGCAGAGUGGGGGGUUUGCGGGGCUUUGCUGAGGAUUUUGUGGGCAUUCCUCUGCUGAAAUCACAGGAGGAGCUGUUGGCAGAACUUGAUAUUUUAGCUUUAUCAUGUCUUAAAAUCUUCAGGACAGCCAAUCUUAAGAUUUCCUAUGCUAAUACUCCCUUUGAAGAUCUGUCAAUAUUCAGGAAACUGAGAGUGUAAAAAAGGUACUGAUUAUUGAUCUUUUGUAAACUAAGGAAAAUGUUUAAAAUAAAAAAAAAUAGCAUUUACAGUUUUUACAGACUGGUGUAUAUUACCUGAGUUGUUCCCUGUAUACAAAAUGCAACAGUUUAACAUUUUUUCUCUUCGUUCUGAGUGUUGAAAUGAAAGCCUUGGAGCAAAGAAGCCACAUAAAACAGGCUGAUAAAAAUUAACCCAAUGGCUACCCAUUGUAAUUAGUGCACAUUCAGUUCCAUCAUUUUAUUGGCAAUAUUAAGCAUGACACCAGAAUUCAAUUUGUGUUCCUGUGCUACCUGUAACUGGAUGUUAGUGCAGCCAGUGCACUCCAGAGGGUCUGAAGUUCUGCCCAUGCCCUAGGACUGGGUGUCAGAAGGGUUUUUAAGCACAGCUCACUUGUAUUUUGCUGUAAGAGCCAUAAAAACUGUAUUGUAACCCCUAAAAGUAUAUUUUUAUUUUUUUAAAAUCAAAAUAGAUAAUAUUGCAAAGUCUUGUAAAGAACCAAACAAUUGAAAUGCUGCUGAAAAAGUGCUAGUCAUCAUCUUCUUUAAAACAAAAAAUAUGAGAAAACCCUAAGUGUAAGGCCUUUUGCUAGCAUUUUCCACUCUUAUGCUUGCUCUAAACUAUGACCAGAGCAAAGAAACCUUUGCUUUAUGCACUGUAGAGACACACUGAGAGGUGAGCAGGAGCAGUUCAGUGCUCAGUGGUGCAACCUGUGUAUGUCUGGGGCUGUGAGUGGGACAGAGCUACCCAAGCAUACAUCUGGGUUCACUGGCAUAUGCUACCAAAGCUCACCUUGUGCCCCUCACUGGCCUCACCAACAAAACAGCCUGGAACCCACACAGAAGCUGAAAGCAUAGGAACCCUCCCUACCAAUGAUUGAUCCAUGGGAUUUAUGGGUAUGAACAGUGAUUUGAUAAUGUAGAAUCACACAACUGCUUUAUUCUGACUGCCCUUAAAUAAAGGCUUCCUUUCCUUGUAUUUUGGAUUUUUCAUUCUAGUACAUGAACAACCUACUGCUUGAUCUUUCCAACAACUCUCCUCAUACUAAUGAAGGUGAAGCAGUUUUAUAACAGCAGGCAGAGCAUCUUGAAUUUCUCUCCAUAUAGCAUAACAUGCUAAUAAAAUGCUGCAGAUAGAGAACCAGGAACCUUUUUUUUUUUUUUUAAUGCUUUGUACAUAUUUCCCUCUCCCUAAGAUGCAAGAGAGGAAAACUCCAGAAAUCAGACAGAAUGCUACCUACUCUUUAAAGGAUACAGCAGUCUUACAAGGAAGAGAUUAGGCACAGCUCAUGUAAUUUUUUUUUACUGCACACCAGCUUUUUAGCUGCUAAUUUUAACCAUAAAGAAUGAGGUUUAUAUUUUUCCUAACUGACUCUAUUUUUAAGGGGUCAAAACUUAUAGCUUCCUCUACUUUGUACAACCAUCACUCUAUUUAAUAUUAAAUACGAGACAGCCUUCUAGUAAAAUUAAAAAAAAUAUUUAAAGAGACUAUAAUGUCAUCGAUAAGAUCAAUGAGAAUAUGCACUGGGAGAGGAUUCUUCAGGAGAAUUUUAAUAAAAAUAGACAUUUUAAAUCAAAGCCACUGAAAAAUUACCUCCAGGUUUGAAACAAGCUGUCAAACCGGCCCUUUAUCUGCUUAAACAACUGUACGCUUCUGUUUCUUUGCCUCAAACACAGAGGGAUCUGAUCCAUCCCCAAAUUCUCAAUAUAGGAACUCUCAAUAGAGGAACCUAUGAGCAAAGGUACUGUAAGUCAGGGGAGAAAUUACUUUAUGCCAUGCUGACUGAGACCAGAAAUGUGUAUUUUCCCCUUUAAAACCCUCUCUCUGAAAUCAACACAGAUCUAAGGUUAACUUUGGACUACAUUAUACAUUCCUCAAAUCAACAUCCAGCACUGCAGUCAGAAAGACUGAUUACAGAUAAAUGCCAGAAAGCUUCCAAAACCAACCAAGACUGUUAACAUAUUGUUUAUAUAAGGUUAAAAAAAAGAAAAAAGGAAAAAAAAGAAGGAAAAAACAACCAAAAUCUUUCCAUAGUGACCCCCUGUUACUCAAAGGGAAUGUAUUAGUGCUGUCAUGUUUUUAGCCCUGUAAAUCUGAUGCAAAUCUGAUAUUGACCAACAAUUAUCCUGUGCUUGUAUUUCUAUGUAUUUUUUAGCAUAGCUGUGGGUUGUAUUUUAAACACAGACCUCUGGAAUGAUUCCUGUUGUUUAUUGGUGUUAGCAACCUCAAGCAAAGUUUGCAAGAUGUGAGCAAUUCUGCCUUUGCAAUUUAUUCACCCCGUGCUUCAUGCUCGAGUGACAGCUUGAGUAAACUGAACAGAACAUUUGGCUUUCAAGGGGCAGUGAUUCCAGAAGUGAGGGUGAAUUUCAGGAUUGCCUGUUGCCAUUGCUCCUGGAGAGAGGUAAUGACCACCAACGGCUUGCUACCCCAGCAGGAUGAUGGAUGAACCCUCCAUGGAGAGGACUGCCCUUUAUUAAACUGACAAAAAUGAGCUGUUUCACAAUCUUCAUGCAAAAAUCUUUUAUAAGGGUAAUGUCUUCUAGAGACAGCCCCCUGAUGAUCUCCAGAUAUCUGGAUACUCAUCUACUUGUGGAAAGAAGGAUGCCACCUGUUCCAUGGUACAGAGCUGUUCCAAUAGCUGCCCACAUUUAUUCUAAAAGUUUAUGAGACAAAAACAUGGACAAUAAAAAGGACACAAAGAUUUCAUUUCAUUUCAGCUCUUACAAACCCAGUUAUUCAUCCUGCAACUGGCUGCUUGCAUUGGUAUAUAUGAAAAGUCUUCCAUUUGUAAUGUAUUUAUGGCAACUGCAAGAAUACAUUUUCCCCUCACUAUUCCUUUCAGACUUCAUGUUUACCAGCUGUCCAGACAUAUGUCAUUCCCUCUCUCUUGAUCCCCUUACCCUGGCUCACUCUAUGGCUACAAAAAGAAAAAAGAAAAAAAAGGAAGAAAAAGGGAGAAAAAAAGAAAGAGACUUUUGGGGUUAGAUGUGACAGUUUCUUGUUCAGAUUAUUAUGAAAUAUCAAAGGAACUAAAAUAUUUUAAAUAGUCCCCUUUGAACGUUCCACUUAACAGACUAAUCUGCCUUUUAUAAUUAGGUAAUUAACAUUAUUUUCUUCUUUUUUUUUUUUUUUUAGUGUUCCUAACAUCCAAGGCAGGGUGAAAGGCAUGAGAAAGAGCCAUCAUUUUUGAGGAUGGUUAACACUAUCAGUGUUAUAGAUCUCUAAUAUGCAAUCUCUUGCUGCUAACAUCAAUACACACUCACAGUGCACCCAGUGAUGAAGGAACUGUUGCUGUGUAUGCUUUGAAUGUAUAUAAGGGAUAAUUUAUUUUCCUUUCUGUCUUUUUUCCUUUUAUUCUGUACUAAAAAAAAAGAAAAAAGAAAAAAGAAAAAAGAAAGUGAUAUGAAACCACAGAAUCAAUGCUAAUGUAUCACAUUCUGCUUCUGGCCUGAAUAUAUAAAAAUACAAAGAAAUUCUGUGUUAAGGGUGCAAAUUCCCUCCUUUACCAUGCUGUCUGAGUAUUGAAAAGGCUUGGGCAGUGUGAAGAUGCGGCUCUAUGCUUGGGUAUAUAACUGCCUUGCACAUGGGUGAAAAAAAAUCAUUACUGAUACCUAAGGAUAUUUUUGUAUGCUGUAGUAGAUGCUCAGUGAUUCUAUGAAAAAGAUGCUGAGGGGUACUUGAAGUGCACCUAGUUGGUUGUUUUCUUUGGCUCCAGUAAAGAGCUUCUCAUUUGCUUUUGAGAUGGAUUAAAUUUGUUUCUUGAACAUGUCUGGUUCUGUAUUAAUAGCAAAAGGAUGCUCUGAACAUCCCUUCCCUCCAGCUUCUCCAGUGGUAUUCAGAAUGGCAAAUAAGUAUUUAAUUAGGAAGCUUAUUAGUAGUACUAUGAUAAUAAUAAUAAUAAUAAUAAUAAUAAUAGUAAUAAUGGUGACAGAAAAUGAGAGAAAGGACAGGAGAAAUGAAAAGGAAAUGAAGCAGUGGUUUGGCUUCUUCUGCCUUUUCAUUCAAAAGAUGGUAAAUCUAAAGGACCAGCACAGAUGAAAACCAAGACUGAAGGUGGGUGAAGAAAGCAGUUUUAAAAUCUGUGCAAGCAGGGAUGAAACAGCUCCUGGAGAGGAAGGCACCACAGCAACCAGCUACACUGAACGAGAAAGAGAAAAGGAAGGGGCAAGGGCACAGAUGAAAGGGAAGAUGAAACCUGGUGAGAAGACGAGGGGACCACCACACACUCCAGGUAAAUGAGAUUUUUCAGUGCCUUCACCUCCCACAUGGCAAGGGCAAACAGCAGUGGUUUGAACAAGUCACCCAGCCCCUCUCUCUCUUUCUGUCUUUUCAAACAUACACAUGUUUUGACAUGGGUUAGUGGGCAUAGUGGUGAUGGACUGAUGGUUGGACUUGAUCUUAUAGGUCUUUUCCAACCUUAAUGAUUCUAUGAUUCUAUGUUUGUUCACUUUUCCACUGCCUAUUUCACUACUUUUGCUACCUGGACUUCCUAUCUACCCUCAGCACAGCUUACCAUUCACUUUCUAGGAAAUCAGGCUUUUAUAACCAGCUUAUCUCAUUUUCUUCCAUCCUUUAAGAAACACUCAUUUAAAGAGAAGGGGAUGGUGAGCAGAUUCUGCUGCUAAAUAUAUCCAUGCUCACUCUCCCUCAUAUUCAGCCUCUGUAUUCAUAGCUAUUAUGACAAAACAUAUCUGAGGUAUUUUUGCUGGAUCCAAUUUAUCUCCAUGCAUGGAGGUUAUACUUUUCUUUGACCCGCUCAACCCAUUCUAAUAUUAUCAAAUUGAGCAUUUAUACAGGUUCCUUUCCAAACACAAAGUUCAUUAGGAAUUUAGGAAAUGCUGGUGAUUUAGAGAUUAACCUUUUACAGAAUUACUGACAUAAACCAGAGCUAUUAUGGUAUUAGAAUGUAUGUAAAAGCCAACAGAAAAGUAUAUUUAGAGCCACAUAAAAGACUUUCCAUCCACCAGUUUACUUCUUUUUUACAGCAGAGAAAUCUGAUGAAAGGAAAGGAGUGAGCACAAUCCACCUCUAAAGUUAUCUAGAGGGAAGCAAAGCUACAAAAAUAUUACAGAAACCAAGCAACAAUCUUCUGCUGGCAUGACAGAGCCUGUAAUCGGGUGGGUGGCUGUGAAGAGCCAAGCUGAAUGCUGCAGAGCACUGUAAUUUUAUUGCAGUGUGGCUGCUUUAAAGCAAACCCAUUUGCAGUGAAAUCUGUACUUCCGUGAGAACAUGGCAAUUGUUUUUGUUACAAAGAUAACGUCACUUGUUGGCAUUCAGGAGCAAUUAUUCAGCCUUUAAGCCAAUUACUGCUCCAACUCGCCUUUGCUGGUGUGACAGUUGGGUGAGAGAGGGAAAUGUAGCAGGCUGCAGUGGCUAAAGAACAGCAUCGUGUGCGCCUGUGCUUGGCAAACAGCACAUACUAUGCUGCUAAGGCACUUUUAAUUUUAAACCAUUUUGCUGCUCUCGUGUUCUUCACAUCCUCACACAGUAACUACAGCCAGAGAUGUCCUUCAGCAUGGGUGCUAUGGGAACCCGACUGAUCCCGUGCCGUGACUGAGCUAACAGAGCCUAAACCCAAGAUUUCAAAGAUAAUAGAAUGUCACGGGCAGAGUGAAUCAAAGGUUGCUGGGAGGGGAGCACUGAAAAUCCCAAACUAAACUGCAAGAACUGCCCACAGCUGUAGAAUUCCAGAGGUUUGGAUUCCUUCAUCAGCUGCCAGCCUCGUGAAACACAUCUGCAAUCAAACCUGUUUGCAAGCUGAGAGCAAAGCAUGCUCCUGGGAGUAAACCCAAACCUGUCUCUAACCAAAUACCUCUGCUGACAGUCUGGCUUGCCAAGAGGUCUGCAUUCCUACCCAAGCACUUCUGUGGACCAAAGGAGAAACUAAGCUGGAUGAUCAAAGAGGGGCUGCUGAGGAACGAAAAGGAGCUGUGCUCCGAUUCUUGUUGAGAUAAUGUCAAACUUCUCAUUGGGACUAUUUGUGUUUCUUUUUUAAUUUCCUCUCUUUCACA